UUCAACCCCCAAGCAGAAGCCACUCAGGAAGAUGCAGGAGGGAUCCAGCGGCUGGCAGGACCAGAGAAGAGAAGAGAGAAUUUCCCCGCGCCCACCGCAGGGAGGUGGAGCCCAGGAGGUCCUAGUGUCAGAAAUGAAUCCAAACUCCCUCUUGUUUUCCCAUCCAGAAAGACCUGAAGUUGUAAGUCAGUGCUAUGGAGGAUGUUGAUUGGCUGCGUCUUUUAUGGAGUGAUGUUGCCCCUGGUAUGCAAGCUGUGCAAUCAAAUCACGCGGGAUGUUGACGCCAUAGUAGUCCUCCCGUUCCACUGAGGAGAGAGGGCCCAGGAGGGGGCUCCAGCACUCGGAAAACUGCAGGUAGCCGGCGUCCGCUGCUCUGUCUGUUCUCUGCCCCUCUUCCAUCGCAGGACACCACCCCCUCGGACCCGGGACAUGUCUCCAUGGGAGCAUCUUGGCUGGGGACUGCGAUGUGAUGGUCUCUGUGGUGAGACUGCAGUCAGUGUCAGCUGUGGCUGAUGUCUUCUGAAUGCCAGACUGAGGCUGGAGGAGCCACCUCCAGGUGGAACACCCUCAUGGAUGGCAGAAAUUAUGGAACAGCUGGUUAAGUGACAAUUUGCAAUAUUGGCAUCUUAUAUAAAGAGCCAAUUCAAGAACAAUGUUGCUCUGAUUCUGACCUAUGUUCCUGUUUAUGAACCUGGGAAGGCAGAUGAAGCUGGCUCAAGAGAUGACCUGCAUGGAAUUACUGAGU